UACAGAGACUGCAAGCGUUAUUCGGAUUCACUGGGCGUAAAGGGUGCGCAGGCGGCCAAGUGUGUUAGGCGUGAAAGCCCGGAGCUCAACUCCGGAAUUGCACCUAAAACUACAUGGCUAGAGCAUUGGAGAGGGAAGCGGAAUUCACGGUGUAGCAGUGAAAUGCGUAGAUAUCGUGAGGAACACCAGUGGCGAAGGCGGCUAUCUGGACGGUUUCUGACACUAAGACUCGAAAGCGUGGGGAGCAAACAGG
rnacentral:rRNA from 1 species